rnacentral:rRNA from 1 species
UGGGGAAUAUUGGACAAUGGGCGAAAGCCUGAUCCAGCCAUGCCGCGUGUGUGAAGAAGGUCUUCGGAUUGUAAAGCACUUUAAGUUGGGAGGAAGGGCAGUAAGUUAAUACCUUGCUGUUUUGACGUUACCGACAGAAUAAGCACCGGCUAACUCUGUGCCAGCAGCCGCGGUAAUACAGAGGGUGCAAGCGUUAAUCGGAAUUACUGGGCGUAAAGCGCGCGUAGGUGGUUUGUUAAGUUGGAUGUGAAAUCCCCGGGGCUCAACCUGGGAACUGCAUCCAAAACUGGCAAGCUAGAGUAUGGUAGAGGGUGGUGGAAUUUCCUGUGUAGCGGUGAAAUGCGUAGAUAUAGGAAGGAACACCAGUGGCGAAGGCGACCACCUGGACUGAUACUGACACUGAGGUGCGAAAGCGUGGGGAGCAAACAGGAUUAGAUACCCACGUAGUCCCUGAGCGGGCUGGCAAGGCGCAU